AUGCUCUUCUGGAUACUGGUCAUGAGCUUGGCUGCAGCUGUUACAGGCAUCCGUUCCCCAAUAAAAAUGGUGGCAUCUGGUCCCAAGGAGGGGAAGGUCUCUGGAUCGCUCCCACUCACCUGUACUAUAGUGGGAGCCCCUCUGGACAGCCCUCGCUACGACUGGAAUUGUGUCCGUCAGACCCCAGGAGGGAAGCUGCAAUUUCUAGGCUGGAUCUACCCUUUUGGGAACAACAUAGGCUACGCCCCAGCCUUCCAAAGCCGAGUAACCAUCUCUGCAGACAAAGACAGGAGCAAGGUCACCCUGCAGCUGCGGGCCCUCACUGCCGCAGACACGGGCACUUAUUUCUGCGCCAGGCAGCACACCGGGAUGCCAGAGGAGGGAGGGGCAGCGCAAAAACGGGGAGGGAUGCUGAGGUGA